GACGUUCCCCGCGGCCGGAGCCAUGGAGAUGCCGCUGCCCCCCGAUGACCAGGAGCUUCGAAAUGUCAUCGACAAGCUCGCCCAGUUCGUGGCUCGCAAUGGGCCCGAGUUUGAGAAGAUGACUAUGGAGAAGCAGAAGGACAACCCCAAAUUCUCGUUUCUUUUCGGAGGCGAAUUCUACAGUUACUACAAGUGCAAGCUGGCGCUGGAGCAGCAGCAGCGUGAGUCCCCUCCGGCACUCAGGCCGCCCCAUCGAGCGCUUCCUUUCUCGGAUUCCAGUCCGGGCUCUGCCACAAACCUCUUUUUUUCGGGUCGUUUACUCUCUGAAGUGGAGCAGCUCGGUCCACACGAUCCCUGUUCCGCUGUUCCCACGGCCCUGCACAGAGCGGCUGCUGGGUGCCACUGUAAUGGAGAGCAACGAGGUUUUCGAUCUUCCUCCUGGGCUCUGGAUUUUGCUGUUGUUUUGCAGACUGAAGACGGAGAUUAGCAGGAGUAGCGUGAUUGUUUUAGUGUUUUCUAGGGAGGAAGUGAUAAGAGGCCGGAUGGGAGCGCAUGGGACAGGCACUGUCCAGCCCCCUUUGCCGUCUCCCUGUGGGUCCAGCAAGGUUUUGUGCAUUUCAGAUGCCUGCAGCAUAAAUCAAAAAGAAGUAUCCCUCUGAGUUUUAGUUAUUGGCAAGUGUUUAUCAAUGUUCGUUCAGUUGGGCAACAGGAUUCCAGUCCUGCUGUAAAGAAGUUUAAGGUUAGGAAGCAGAGCUGGCCUUUGAAUAAUGGAUAGUCACCAGGUGGUGCGGCUGCUCAGGGCAGGUAUCACAUCUGUCACGUUCAGUACCCAACCCCGUCUCUAGAUUGUUUAAAUGAAUAACUAGCAGUUUGCCAGGU
rnacentral:sRNA from 1 species